AAAGUAUUAGCUGUGGCAGAUGACACUGUUUGACACAAUUUGAGCUAGCUAUAGCAACAAAAUCCAGCCUAUUCCGGUGUUCUUCUCUAUGAGACAAGCCAUUAUGUAGACUUAGACAGU
rnacentral:snoRNA from 1 species